ensembl:snRNA U2 U2 spliceosomal RNA
CUCGCUUCUCGGCCUUUUGGCUAAGAUCAAGUGUAGUAAUACAGGAGGUCUUAGCUGAAAGGUACAGCCUAUUCUGUGUUUUCGUGCUUGCAGAAGCUGACUAGUUGCGACUUGGCCUUGACUGGGCAUCAAACCUCAGUCUUGGUAUCUGGGUACCCCCC